rnacentral:rRNA from 1 species
CAUUGCUUCCAGAAUAAGAUUGAGAGGUACGACCUGCCCGGUGACUUUAGGGUUAAACGGCUGCAGUACUCUGACUGUGCAAAGGUAGCAUAAUCAUUUGCCUAGUAAUUUUAGGCUAGAAUCAACGGUUAGACGAAGGAUGAGCUGUCUCCUUUUAAUUUAGCUGAAGUUAGCUUUGGAGUGAAGAGACUUCAAUAAGUGAGUGGGACGAGAAGACCCUAUUGAGCUUUAACUUAAUUAAAAAUAAAGUUUUAAUAAAGUUUGGAUUGGGGCAAUUCUUUUUAUAAUAAAACAAAAGUUAAGUAUAAUGAAUUUAUGCUAUAAGACCCCGAACUUAUCGGAAACAAGAAAAAGUUACCAUAGGGAUAACAGCGUUAUUUUUCUUGAGAGUACAUAUUGACAGAAAAGUUUGCGACCUCGAUGUUGGAUUAAGAUAACCUGGAUGUGCAGCAGCCUCCAAUGGUUGGUUUGUUCAACCAUUAAAAUCUUACGUGAU